CUGGAGGUAAUCUGGUUUACGAGGAGGUAAUAUAAGUAUUGUUUUCGUUUACGUUGAAAAAUUUUUUGUGUGAUUCAAAACUCUUUGAUUAUUUUUAUAUAAUUUUUUUUUGUUUGUUUAUUUUUAUUUAUAUUUAAUUAGUUUUUUUAAAUUUUUGUUUAUUAUUUUAUUAUGAAAUGCUUGUUUUUAUUAUAGUUAAUUUUUAAUGUAAGUGAUAAUUUUAUUUAUUAUGCAAGAAUUUUUAUUUUAUUUUACCUUUUGUAUCAGGGUUAAUUUAAUAUUGAUUUUAUAUUAAUUUUUCUCGAAUUUGGGGGAUUUAUUUUGGAGUGAUUUUCUGUGUUUUAUAAUGGUUUUGAAUUCUGAGAUAGUAGUGAGAUUCUAUACGUUCUUGAAGAUAUCUAGUUUUCUGAGAUUUAAAUUUAAUUUUAUUUUGGGUUUGAAUUAUUUUUGUUUUGUAAAUUUUUCUUACUUUUUUUUUAUAAUUAAGGGGUUAAGCUUUUAAUUAAUUGUUAUAAUCACUCUUUCUUUGAUUUUAUUUAGGCUUGAAAUCAGCCAUUAUUUUGAUUACGUUUUAGUUUAAUUUAUUUUUUAAUUAUUAUUUAUUUUAUUUAACUUUUUUAUUGGAAUAUUAUUUUUAAUUUUUUUUAGUUAGUGAUUAUGGUUAAAUAAGUAUAUUUAUGUUGUUUUUUAUUUUUUGUUUGUUAAUAUAUUAAAAGGAACUCGGCAAUUUAUGUUUUCGCCUGUUUAUCAAAAACAUCUCUUUCUGGGUAUAUGGAGGGUUGGGCCUGCACACUGAUUAUUUAAAGAGCCGCGGUAUUUUGACUGUGCAAAGGUAGCAUAAUCAUUAGUAUAUUAAUUGUGUACUGGAAUGAAAGGUUUGACGAAAAACAUACUGUCUCUUAUUAUUUAAUUGAAUUUUACUUUCUAGUAAAAAGGCUGGGAUUUAUUUUUUGGACGAUAAGACCCUAUAGAGUUUAAUUAAAUAUUUUUUGAUGGUUUUGGUUAUUUUGAUUUGUUUUUAUAAUGUUUAAUUUGGUUGGGGUGACUUGAAUAAUAAAUAAACUAUUCAUUUAUAUUAUCAUUGAUUUAUGUAAUUUUUGAUCUUGUAUUAUUGAUUUUGAGAUUUAAUUACCUUAGGGAUAACAGCGCAAUUAUUUCUGAGAGUUCUUAUUGACGAGAUGGAUUGUGACCUCGAUGUUGGAUUAAGAGUAAUGUUUUGGUGUAGGGGCUGAAAUAAU
rnacentral:rRNA from 1 species